CAGCCGCCGCGGGAAUACGGAGGGGGCUAGCGUUGUUCGGAAUUACUGGGCGUAAAGCGCACGUAGGCGGUUUGGUAAGUUAGAGGUGAAAGCCCGGAGCUCAACUCCGGAAUUGCCUUUAAGACUGCCGAGCUAGUAGGUGAGAGAGGUAAGUGGAAUUCCGAGUGUAGAGGUGAAAUUCGUAGAUAUUCGGAAGAACACCAGUGGCGAAGGCGGCUUACUGGCUCAUUCUAGACGCUGAGGUGCGAAAGCGUGGGGAGCAAACAGGAUUAGAUACCCCUGUAGUCCCUGUCUCUUAUAC
rnacentral:rRNA from 1 species